GGCAGGAUGGCCGAGUGUUCUAAGGUGCUGCGUACAGGUCGCAGUCUCCCCUGGAGGCGCGGGUUCGAAUCCCGCUCCUGUCA
rnacentral:tRNA from 1 species